rnacentral:rRNA from 1 species
GUCUACUUGGAGGUUGUGCCCUUGAGGCGUGGCUUCCGGAGCUAACGCGUUAAGUAGACCGCCUGGGGAGUACGGCCGCAAGGUUAAAACUCAAAUGAAUUGACGGGGGCCCGCACAAGCGGUGGAGCAUGUGGUUUAAUUCGAUGCAACGCGAAGAACCUUACCUGGUCUUGACAUCCACAGAAGAAUCCAGAGAUGGAUUUGUGCCUUCGGGAACUGUGAGACAGGUGCUGCAUGGCUGUCGUCAGCUCGUGUUGUGAAAUGUUGGGUUAAGUCCCGCAACGAGCGCAACCCUUAUCCUUUGUUGCCAGCGGUUAGGCCGGGAACUCAAAGGAGACUGCCAGUGAUAAACUGGAGGAAGGUGGGGAUGACGUCAAGUCAUCAUGGCCCUUACGACCAGGGCUACACACGUGCUACAAUGGCGCAUACAAAGAGAAGCGACCUCGCGAGAGCAAGCGGACCUCAUAAAGUGCGUCGUAGUCCGGAUUGGAGUCUGCAACUCGACUCCAUGAAGUCGGAAUCGCUAGUAAUCGUGGAUCAGAAUGCCACGGUGAAUACGUUCCCGGGCCUUGUACACACCGCCCGUCACACCAUGGGAGUGGGUUGCAAAAGAAGUAGGUAGCUUAACCUUCGGGAGGGCGCUUACCACUUUGUGAUUCAUGACUGGGGUGAAGUCGUAACAAGGUAACCGUAGGGGAACCUGCGGUUGGA